rnacentral:rRNA from 1 species
UAGCGUAUAUUAAAGUUGUUGCAGUUAAAAAGCUCGUAGUUGAAUUUCUGGACUCGCCGAGAGGCGGCCUUUGGCCGACCACUCCGCAAGUUCAUCCUCGCCCCUCGGGGCGUCAUUUACUGUGAAAAAAUUAGAGUGUUUAAAGCAGGCUUUAGGCUUGAAUACAUUAGCAUGGAAUAAUGAGAUAGGACCAAGUCGUAUUUUGUUGGUUGCGCGAUUCGGUAAUGAUUAAUAGGGACAGUUGGGGGUAUUCAUAUUUAAUUGUCAGAGGUGAAAUUCUUAGAUUUAUUAAAGAUGAACUACUGCGAAAGCAUUUACCAAGGAUGUUUUCAUUAAUCAAGAACGAAAGUCAGGGGAUCGAAGAGGAUUAGAUACCCUCGUAGUCUUGACCAUAAACUAUGCCGACUCAGGAUUGGCACCCUUUUUUAACAGGGUGUCAGCACUGUAUGAAAAAUCAAAGUCUUUGGGUUCCGGGGGGAGUAUGGUCGCAAGGCUGAAACUUAAAGGAAUUGACGGAAGGGCACCACCAGGAGUGGAGCCUGCGGCUUAA